UCUACGGGAGGCUGCAGUGGGGAAUAUUGGACAAUGGGGGGAACCCUGAUCCAGCGACGCCGCGUGAGUGAAGAAGUAUUUCGGUAUGUAAAGCUCUAUCAGCAGGGAAGAAAGAAAUGACGGUACCUGACUAAGAAGCCCCGGCUAACUACGUGCCAGCAGCCGCGGUAAUACGUAGGGGGCAAGCGUUAUCCGGAUAUACUGGGUGUAAAGGGAGCGUAGACGGCGAUGCAAGUCUGAAGUGAAAGGCGGUGGCCCAACCCCCGGACUGCUUUGGAAACUGUAUGGCUGGAGUGCAGGAGAGGUAAGUGGAAUUCCUAGUGUAGCGGUGAAAUGCGUAGAUAUUAGGAGGAACACCAGUGGCGAAGGCGGCUUACUGGACUAUAACUGACGUUGAGGCUCGAAAGCGUGGGUAUCGAACAGGAUUAGAUACCCCAGUAGUC
rnacentral:rRNA from 1 species